AGGUGAUGAUGCAGCACUGAUGUUACUAAGCCAAAUGAGGAACGGAGUUUAAUUCACUCAAAAAAAAAAAAAAAGUCAGUGUGCUUUUAGAUGUGAAAUCCCAACACAUGAAGCUACAGUGAACCUCUCCCUAUUUGCAACUCAGUAUUCAUGGAUUCACCCAUUCUAUUUUUUUUCUGUGGAACAUAACUCCAAAUUAUUCCCACAAAGUGCCUGCUCACAGAUUUAUUUCGAUAUUUGUAUCUAAAAUAUUCAAAAGAAAAUGCCUCUUGGGAAGGUGAACCACCUUGGCACAGUUCUACUUGACAUGCUGUUGGCUUGCAUUUACAAAGCAGCCAAUCCAGGAGCCGAAUUUGUUUACCUUGGCACUGACUGCACAGGAAUGGAUAUAAGGAAAAAUGUAGAUAUUAUCAUCUGUGAUGGUGCUAGAGUGGUUUCCACUGUGUGCAUUAAUGCGUGUUAAAGCAGGUGUAUUUGGUGUUUGACCUAUUAAGGUAGUUGUAAGCGUAACCAGACAGAGUCUCAAUUAUUUGUGUUUUUUGUAGAUGGCUGUGGUUCCUAAUCCCCAUGAGUCCACUGUAUGUUCAGUUUUUCUUAAAACGUUUGGUUACAUGUUUACAUUUAGCCCACUAAUCAACAUCUAAAAACUUGAUUUAUAUACUAUGUCAAUUUCAUACCAAAUAUCCCAAUUUUAGCCUAGAUGUCCCAUUUUUUUUUUUUUUUUUUACGUUCACAUAUAGUUUAAACAUAUCAGUGGACAUAACUAACAUGGCAUUCAUUAGCAACAGCUGCCAAUGGCCAGAAGCAUAGCUUACUAGUUUCUAUGGCUAAGUGCUUAGCCCAUAGCAUGCUAGUUAGUUGGAAGCCAUGUCCCAACAUUAUGACAAGGUGGAAAGCAAACUCCUUUCUUUUUUACUGAAAACCACAGCUAGCUACAGAGCUCGCCUGGUGAUGUGGGAAAAAAAGGCAUAAAAAUUUGUGCUCACGACUUAAUAACUUGUGGGAACGAUUUUUUUUUACCACGACUUAAUUACUCAUGACCUCAACUUAUUUAUUUUGUGGGAAUGACCUAAAAUAACAAGUUGUGGUCAUAAGUAACUAAGCAGUGGCCAUGAAUUAAACAAGUUGUUCUCACGAGUUUUUAUUUUUCCUCCCAAUGUCCCCAUGGGUCCGUAUCUAAUGGGCCACUGAUUACGAACAAUUCCUCUAGUCUAAGACUUGAGCAUUAGCUCUGUUGAUAAAAUAGCUAAGCCUUUCUUUGCCCCAGCCUCAUCGCAGUUCUUAACGUGUAAAUAAUUUAGAUUUUCAUUCGUAGCAUAAUCCAUAUUCCCAUAUCAGCCUUAUUAUUCUCUGCUGGACACUGAACACAACAACUAUGAUUCACGUUUACAUUUAACAUUGUUAAAUUCAAAUUAAAAUGUAGCUAAAGUUGUUGAAAUGCAACCAAUUACUAAAUCAUACAUUUACAAACUGUUCUGCAAAAAUUAUUUAAAACGCAAAUAAUUACAUGACUAAUAUUUUAAAGCACAUAGCAUUCCUUUAUGUGCAUUGGGAUGGAGAUGAUUCCGUGUUGGACAAGUUCCUAGAGACACCAUGUGAUCCAUCAUCCUGCAUAACAAGCAGCACACAGAACCCCAGUGAACAAACAAGGCAAGAUAAAGAUCUGCAUGUGUGUAGAGAUUAAUAACAGGCUGCUUAUGUCAGGGGAAAAAUAUUAUUGAUGCAGAGGCUCUAGAAAAGUACCAAGCUAAGAAGUGAAGCAUAUUUAUGUGGAUGGAGGAAAACCUGUCAGGAUGGCAGGAAAUGAAAGUAGUGAUUGUUGUUUAAUAUUUGUUAAUAUGUCAUAAAUCUGCGUUACUCAAAUAGAGGCUGGGGAGGAAGUUGAAUGGAGGACAGGAGAGAGGGGAGGUGUGUUGAGCAAAGAUAAAGAAUGAAAAAACCUGUGAUAAAUGUGUUUAUCUGUUUUCUUCCUUAGGUUUCAUAUCCUGUGUGGGCCCAACUGUGUUUCCUGCUUGCUGAUGACGCAGGGAAGCUGGUGGUGUCUGUGUAUCUUGCGUCUGCGUUUCUUAUAUCUACAUUGUGGAAAUCUGUUAUAUCACCAAGCAUGUCGGUUAGGCAAGCAGCGUCUGAUCUCCCGCAGCCAGAGUUUCAUCAAGCAUGUGAAUGGGUGUCAGUCAGGACUUCCAGACCACCUGUGGGACGGUUGGUUAUUAAGGCACAGCUGGGUGUGCUUUCAUUUUAAUUGGCAAUGUUACAUUGUGCUGUGUCUGAAGGAAUGAGAAACGAAUGCAGGGAAUAGAGAUACAUUUCCAGAAGGGGUUUAAAGAUAAAAGCAAUAAAAAUGUAAACGUAUUGUGCUUAAAACUUGGAAAACUGUAAAAUGUGUCAGCUUAAGAGCCUUUUAUAGUGCAUACCUAGUGUGUAGCGCAAAAGUAUUCAUGCCACGUUAUAACCACAUGGCUUUAAAAUGGGAUUUUAUCUGAUGGCUGACACAUAAUUAAGUUCAAAGGAGAAUGUUAGUAGACCUCACCUACUAAUUAACUCUACUAAUUAGUUGUGUCUGUAUCUGUACUAAAAAUAUCUGUAUUGUACAGAUGUUUUGUAUAGAUGUUUAUGUUUGUUAGAUAAUCUCAGAGAGCUAAUAGCAUAAUUGUGUCAAAGAACACAGAGAAAAUGUAUUUUUUUUUACAUUUUAUUUAAAUUUUAAAAAAUGUCUCUUUUAAGUUUUCCGAUGCCCGUUUAGGAUACAAGUCGUUCGCAAAAGGUACUCUGGUCAGAUGAGACAAAAGAGUAACUUUUUGACCCAUACAGAAAUAUUUUUAAGUUGUAGCAGUCUUAUGCCUUUCAAAACUAGACUUAACUCCAGUUGAGAAUCUGCUGAAAACACAAUGUUUGCCAUGCAAACACUCAAUCAAAUCUCACUGAGUUUGAGAUAUUUUGCAAACAAGAACGAGCAAAAAAAAAAAAAAAAACAAAAAGAGAGAAAAAAAAAUAUAGAGCUGUCCCCAAAGACCUGCAGCUGUCAUUGGAGAAAACGUUAGUUCUGGAAAUUAUUGACUCAGGUGGUUGAAUAUAAAUGCUGACAUAUUUUUAUUUCCAAGAAAAUGUGACGCAUGUAUCCUUUUUGUUUUUCAUUAGAUCCCAAUAAAAAGCCUGAAACUUGUUGAACCUUUUACUGCGAAAAGGUUCAAGGAGCAAGCAUGCUUUUGUAAAGCACUGUUGAAUGCGGCUCGGGUGUUUGUCACUUCACAAAGGUAAAAGGUCACCUUUUCUCAGAAUCAGGUCAACUUUAUGGCAUUAAUUAGAUUUUUAGGAAACUCUUCUGCCAACUACAUCCUGCACAUUGUAUGACAUUGAAGCUUUGAAGUCUUGUGCACAAUAUGCAAAUUUGUACAACACUGAUCAGAUAUAUUCUCUACUAUUGUAACAAUUUCAAUGAUAGAACAUCAAAGGGCUUGCAAGGAACGCACAAUCGAAAAUGACUUAAAAAUAUUUAAAUAAAAUAAACAGUAAGAAUGAACCAAGAAUGACAUAUCUGGCAGUGCUUAGCAUGCCUCAAAAAUAGACUACUGCAAGAAAUGCAGGAGAAAGAUUUUUUUUUGUUUUUGUUUUUGUUUUUUCAUGGUAACAACAGUUCCCUGACCCAAAGAUUAUUGAAAAUCGAAGACAAACCUCAAAAGAACGGUGCAUUAAAGGCUUGAAAAUUUCACUGAACAGGAAAAGAAAAAGUGAAAAUCCACUAAGUCAGAACUUGAAAGUCUCAUGGAGCCUUUCAACAGCUCCCACAUUCCUGGAACAUUUCCACAAAGUGUAUUAUAUCGGGAUGCUAUGUGACAAAGCAAAUACGAGCAAUUUCAUGGUUGUUAAGUGGAAGGAAAAUGAUUCAUGGAUUUUUUUUUUAACUCAAACAUCUGAAAACUGUGCGAGACAUUUCCAUGCAACCCUCCUGAGUCAAAUCCUUAUAGAAGCACAUUUUGGUGAACAAAGCUGAAAGACUUUUGGGCUGUGUCAUCACCAGCUUUGCAAGCUGAGAGGCAGAAUAGGUUGUGCCAAUUCUUUAUAGAAAGUGCUCAGACAGACUGAGCUCUGCCCAUGUCAAUUGAUUUGCAGACUGUAAUUCCAGGAUCGUCGUGUGUUUAUCUACAUUAAUCUUUCCCUGUUCUUAAAGAAAAUCUCUCCCACAACAUGAUACCAUGUAUUAGUUUCUUCCAAACAAAAAGAAUACAUUAAAAUAACUUCAGUGUAUCUGACCAAAGCACCUCCUUGCACACAUUGCUCUCAGAUUUGUGGAGGACUAAAAUUUGUCCUGCCAACGUGUGACUUCUGAAGUUAAUGCACAAAUAAACAUGAAAAGCAUGUCUUUUCCUUUCACUUAACAAUUAUGCACCUCAUUGUAUUGGUCUUCCUUUUAAAAGUCUUUGCAAGUUUAUUGAGGAUAUUUUUAAGUUGUCUGAAUUUUUUUUACUUUAAUAGAAACUGCUGUCUGAGCUGAAAUGUGACAGUUUAAACCUAUAGAGACUUUUGCAAUUAAAGCGAUGUGUUCUAUUUGUUACAUUACUUUGAUCUUGUCAUCAUUUCAAGGGGCUUAUUUUUUGUUUGCCUGUCCCCUCAAAGCAUAACCAUGCAAUGAAACUCUAGAGACAUUCUCUUGAUAAACCGCAAUACUUAUCUGAACACCAGUAAAGCCAUAAAGUCUGGUAUAAAAUACUCCGAUUCCUCUCAUAUUCGCAGACAUUCUGAGCUGGAUUUUAAAGCACCGCCAAAAGCACAAAAAAGUUCCCUGGGGUCUGAAGGAGAGAUAGCGAAAAGAAAGGAUCAGAGAAGAAAGUUGGAGUUUAAAGUGGAGGAAUGAGCAGGAGAAAAAAGCCUGCAGGAAUGAAGAGCAGCUGUUGAGCGUUGCUCCCUCCUCUGAGAACUUCUAUACAUGCUACAGGCUCCUGCAACUGGCUCACGCUACAUUACAGCAGCUGUCUGAAAAAAAAAAAAAAAAAAAAAAAAUCAACACACUGUAGUGUCUUUCUUGAUUAUCUACACUUUAAAACACAUUAUCCACACAUUUAAAAAAA